rnacentral:rRNA from 1 species
UGGGGAAUAUUGCACAAUGGAGGGAACUCUGAUGCAGCGACGCCGCGUGAGUGAUGAAGGAAUUCGUUUCGUAAAACUCUGUUCUAUAGGAAGAAAAGGACUGUACCAUAGGAGAAAGCUCCGGCUAAAUACGUGCCAGCAGCCGCGGUAAUACGUAUGGAGCGAGCGUUGUCCGGAAUUAUUGGGCGUAAAGGGUGCGCAGGCGGCUUUACAAGUUGGAUGUGAAAUAAUGUGGCUCAACCACAAACGUGCAUCCAAAACUGCAAAGCUUGAGUUAAGGAGAGGUAAGUGGAAUUACUGGUGGAGCGGUGGAAUGCGUAGAUAUCAGGGGGAAUACCGGUGGCGAAGGCGACUUACUGGACUUAAACUGACGCUCAGGCACGAAAGCGUGGGGAGCAAACAGG